rnacentral:rRNA from 1 species
AGCUCCAAUAGCGUAUAUUAAAGUUGCUGCAGUUAAAAAGCUCGUAGUUGGAUCUCGGGGUACCUGGUCUAGCCGGUAUAGCUCACGCUAAAACUGGUCUGACCCCCCAACGUGAGGUAUUCGUCUCCGGGUGCACUUCAUUGGGUGCUCGUGAGGGGCCUCGUAGUUACUGUGAAAAAAUUAGAGUGUUCAAAGCAGGCUCAUAUGUUCGGAUAGUCGUGCAUGGAAUAAAGGAAUACGUGAGAGGGGAAAAGGAGGGGGAGGGGGGGACAGGGGGAAGGAUUAAGAGGGAGAGCCGGGGGCAUUGGUAUGGCGGGGUUAGAGGUGAAAUUCUUGGAUCCUCGCCAGACCAACAAAAGCGAAAGCAUUUGCCAAGAAUGUCUUCA